CCGGAAGCAGUAAUUUAGCUUCUCUUCCGCGAUUAGCACGUCUUUAGCACAACAGAAGGUUCGGUUGGCAGGAGUCUGAAGACUGGACGAGAUGGUGUCACUUGAGCUCUAUGGAGAUUUAAUAAGAGACAUGAUUGAUCAAAACCUCUCGCACGCGGACAUUUCCACGAAUUUAUCACAAUAAGGUGUGCAGCGAUGUUCUGAAAUGAGUGUCAGGAGAUUUUGUGCACAACAUUGUGCAACAUUUCCAGGAGGGGACAUGUAUCCGACACACAAUUAGAAGUUGCUAUCAGCAGGGCAAUAAAUCAGACAGGGUCAACAUAUGGUUGAAAGAUGAUGACCAGGUACCUGUCUGCGAUGGGAGUAGUUGCUGGUGAACGCCAGAUAGGGAGGAUUUUGAAAACAACACAUUGUCCUUAUCACGAAAUGCGCAAACGUGGUGCACGUAACCUUAACCCCGUCCCCUACAGUGCUGCAUACAUGGGACACAAAAUCCACAUCGACCAGAAUGAAAAACUGGUCAUGUUCGGAGUGACGCACGUUUUUGCAGUAGAUGGGUACAGCAGUAAGGACGUUGCCCAUGCAACCAUGCCUGUCAAGAAUAACCUCACGAUAUAUGAGGAAGUUUACAGAUCAGCAGUUCUUGAAGAUGGGAUGUGGGACCAGGUCAGGGUGGACCAUGGCCGUGAGUUUUACUUGUCCCUCUACAUGCAGGAGAUGCUGUCUAACCACAGACACAACUUGCAAAGGGAAGCAGCUGUCCUCUACAUUUACUCAGCUGUGCACCAUCACAAGAAGAAGAACAUCACCACUACAGCUACUUAGACACUCCAAAUUGCA
ensembl:lncRNA